GAGCCCAGAAAGUGUAAUAGCAGAACUUUGCUCCUCAGUUCUUGCUGAUGGAGUUCAGAAUGUCAAGGUCAGACGGAACCAUGCUUUCCAAGAUUUGCUACGUUGGAUGAACCGAGCUGAUUAUGGUUGGGACAAACAUCUUAAUGUUUCUUUUGUUGGAGAACAAGGGCUUGAUUCUGGAGGACCUAGGCGCAAUCUAAUGGAACUGACUGUUCGUGGACUGAUCAACUGGGGAGGACUUUGGUGUGGGAAAGAAGGACACCUCAUUCCAGCUCCUGACUUUUUAACAUUGCAGAACAGAUCCCAUUGUAUGGCAGGGAGGAUUGUUGGCACUGUUCUCGUUCAGAGUUCUCUACAGCUCAAUAUUUUUGCAGAAUCUCUGAUCAACACCAUUGCAGGAAUCAACCAGUGGUUUGUAGAGGAUGUUGCUGAUGAAACUGUCCAAAGCAAGCUGAAAGAGACUAUCGGGGAAGGAGGCACUGGACUGGCGAUCCAGUUGUGGAGAAAAUAGCAGAAAACAUCAGCUUUCUAGGGGAGGUCAAUGAUGCCCAAAAAAAAGACUUCACCCAAGCGGCUGUAAGAUAUUACACUUCCGCAGUGAAUCGUGCUCAAAUUGAAGAAUUCAAAGAAGGGCUCGAAACAUUUGGAAUUGCAACAUUGAUAAGAAAACAUCCAGAUGUGAUGAAGUUGCUUUUGUGUGGCCAGAAAAGAGCAACAAUACAGCAUGAUGAAGUAUAUGACAUGUUUGAGGCAGAGCUGUCAGAAGUGGGGUCAAAUCAAAGGGAUUUGGAGGAAGAGGCAAUGAUGCAUUUCAGGCUGUUUUUAAGCAGCUUGACAAACCUAAAUGCAGCAUGUUCCUUGGAGGAUCUACUGAGGUUCCUAACUGGAGCAAAACAGUUUCCCAUUGGUGAAUAUGAGAUUCAGCCAACUAUAGAAUUCAUUAGAGGUUCACAAUUCCCAACUGUAAGCACCUGUGGUCUUGUUUUGAGGCUGCCAAUCGGCUUGACAGAAGAACAAUUCAAAACUAAUUUUGAAUUUGCUGUCCGAAGCUGCCAUGACUUUUCCUUUGUUUAGUGUUACCAGUGUGACUGUUGACAUUGAUGUCCAGGACAGAGAGGGCCAUAUCCACAAUCUGUUUUAAAAAGACUACACUUAAAUGUUUAAGUAUAGAACCAUGUACAUUGUCAUUCCCCAUGACUUUUAGGCCACUCAUUGAAGCAAUGUAUUUGAUAAAGAAACAAUGUGCAUACUUUAGAUCCAGGAUAAAUCCACUUCAAUUCUGAAUGUUGUGAAAACCAGGCAGCUCAUAAAUGGCACUUUGAUAAUUAGCAGGAUAAAUAUAACAAUUAAAGUACUGUUUGUUUCAAAUGAGUGGAUUGGAAAGGUAUGUUUAGUAGCCUGACAUCAGAUCAUUAAUCCAAUCUGGUUGUUUUUUUCUUUUGUCAAAAUAGUUUAUAAUAAAUUCAUCCAGAAAGGCGCAUCUGAAGAAGUUUAAAACAAUCAGAAUUGGCCAGUGCUGUUUCAGCGAUAAUAAAAUUGAGGUCUCUAAUCAAAAGAUGUGUAAAGUGUGGCUGCAUGUGUUUUCAGGGCGGGUAUGGGUACAAGGUUUUUUUCUUUAACCUUGUUCACAAUUGUUAUGUCAUUUGUUCAACUGUAGUGUUGUGGAUGUUAACCUUACCAAUGUAAAAAGUUGUCAGUGUUAAUGGGGGUGGGGCAAUUGUACCUUUGCUCUAAAAUGAUGCUGUUGGGUAAGAACUUAAGAUUUGACCUGUGCUGAUUACUGUUACUACUUGGUUUUGUAAUAUUACUGUAGGUAGGGUAGACCAACAAUGGCAAUCUGUCUCCUGUAUCAACAGGAUAUAAUAUAUAUUAUUAUUUUAUUAUUAUUAUUUAUUUCUUAACAGACGCCCUUAUCCAGGGCGACUUACAAUUGUUACAAGAUAUCACAUUAUUUUCUACAUUCAAUUACAUUAUUUUUUACAUACAAUUACCCAUUUAUACAGCUGGGUUUUUACUGGAGCAAUCUGGGUAAAGUACCUUGCUCAAGGGUACAGCAGCAGUGUCCUCCACCGGGGAUUGAACCCACAACCCUCCGGUCAAGAGUCCAGAGCCCUAACCACUACUCCACACUGCUGUGUUAGUAGAUUCUGACAUUUGCUGUAAAUGUUCAUCUUAACAAAUGACUGCUUAAGGUCAUUUAA